rnacentral:lncRNA from 12 species
AGUUUUUUUUUGUUUUUGUUUUUAAAGAGAAUCGUAUUAAACCACAAUUAAAAAUGCCAGUAAAGUUUUUCUUAUGUGGAAAACUGAACAAGGAGUGUAUAUUUUUCAAGAUAUAGUUCAGAAUUAUGUUAAAGUUACUUGAUGCCCAUGAUGUCAGACUUUGAGAAAACUCUAAUACAUCAUCCAUUGUGAUGCUCUGAUUUUUCUUCAUGUCUUGCUGUGAAGUUUUGAGGGUAAGGGAAGUUGUGAUGUUGAGUAACUGAAGAUUAUCCUGAGCACUCUCCAGGCAUGUUGUCUCAUUUGCACAGGUAUGUUUCACAGAUGUUAAAUAAGAGAGUAGCGGUGGGAUUGCUGGGACUCACAACAGCAGAGCAAGGAAGUACACGUGCCAGAAGAAUGCUUUGAGCACUUUUGCCUGACAGUAGUUACCUACCGUUUCCUGGCACUUAGAAGACUGUUUGAUAAAGAAGCAUGAACACAUUGCAUUAAAGCCAAUGGGUUCCAAAAAAGG